CGCGUUCUACGCGUCUCGUAUUACACAUCGAAACUCGCGAUCGUAGGAAGAUGCCGGGAUCCGGGAUACGUAAAACGCGAUUAUUGUGUAUAAUCGUUACAAAUAGCGAUUAUUAGAGCCCGCGGGACUAAUUAUUUCUCGCGAUUAACGAUCAGUGAACGUAACGAGACGACGACCGUUUAUCGCGGUAAGUGAAGUUAGGGUUAGGUUGAGUUAUUUCGCGCGCUUUAUCUUAUUUCAAACAGGAAUCGAAGCGAACGGGGACGGUAGUUAUAGAAUCAUCGUACGAUCAUAGUUCUUGCUUGCUUGUUCUCUCGCAAUAUAAUAAAGUGCGUGUCGCGUACAAUUAAUAUUGGGAGUGCCGUGCAAAGUGUCGCGCGAUCGUCGUAUUCUCUCAAUUAGUACACGAGACGAUUAUAAUUAAUCGUGUUUCCGGGAGUGUUGUGAGAGUACCAAUACUAAUAAAAAGCAGGGAUGAUGAAUAGAAGAGGAGGAAGAAGGCCGAGACAUCGGGCGACAGCGGGGCAACUCUCUCUGAGGAACAUAGGUCAGCACAAUAAUCACAUUGUUUGGCAGAUCGCCCUCUCGAACGAUCUCAACCUGUAACUGUACCCACCUGCUGCCAUAUCUCGUCGAACCGUAACACAAGCUCUCAAUCCCCAGAAGCAAUGGGGCUCCUCGAUAAUUCGAAGCUGACGUUGGUCACAUCCGCAUGAAAGAAAACAUGCGAAGACAAGUAUGCGAAUCGAACCGGUUCGACGCACCUCGCAGCGGAUUGGACGGUUGCGGAAUCAAGCCAAGUUUAAUUCUUAAGCAUCGGUCACGGAACGGGUCCUUAAGUAUCAAGGUCUAAUCGUCGUCAUUUUCGCAGAGUGGGGAAGGUAGCGCGUCGAUUGGAGGCGAGCGUUGCAUAUGCAAAUCUGUUUGCCCGCUCUCUCGUUUUCUCCUUCUCCCCUUUGACUUCGCCGACAGCAGCCGGCCGAGAUGCACGCGAGAUGAAAAAGGCGCGCUCUCGCUCGCGCGAGUUCCGGCGACCGGAGAACUCGCCUUUGCCUCCGCCGGGCGGAGCCGCGUUUCCCUGCGAUUGGAGGCGUCGUUCCCCACCGACGCGUCGACUGCUCCCCACUUGCGACAAUCGUGCAGGCUCUGUGUCGGUGCCCGUACCGCCAAGCUUCUGGCAUCACGCGCGCGACUCUCCUUGUCCCGUUUACGCCGCUUCGCCGUGGACGCGUCGAUGCUUUCUCCUUGUCUCGCUCUAGCGCGGCCUUUCCUCUUCCUUGCCGGAGACCUAACGACUCCCCCACCUCGGCU